GAUGAACGCUGGCGGCGUGCCUAAUACAUGCAAGUCGAGCGAACGGACGAUAAUCUUGCUUCUCUGAUGUUAGCGGCGGACGGGUGAUUAACACGUGUAUAACCUACCUAUAAUACUGGUAUAACUUCGUGAAACCGGAUCUAAUACCGGCUGAUAUUUUGAACCGCAUGGUUCAAAAGUGAAAGACGGUCUUUCUGUCACUUAUAGAUGGAUCCGCGCUGCAUUAGCUAGUUGGUAAGGUAACGGCUUACCAAGGCAACGAUGCAUAGCCGACCUGAGAGGGUGAUAGGCCACACUGGAAGUGAGACACGGAACAGAGAACUACGGGAGGCAGCAGUAGGGAAUAUGCCGCAAUGGGCGAAAGGAUGACGGAGCAACGCCGAGGGAGAGAUGAAGGUCUUCGGAUCGUAAAAAUCUGUUAUUAGGGAAGAAAAGAUGUGUAAGAAACUGUGCACAGCGUGACGGUAACUAAUCAGAAAGCAACGGCUAACUACGUG
rnacentral:rRNA from 1 species